rnacentral:tRNA from 1 species
GGCCCAUUAGCUCAGUUGGUUAGAGCGUCGUGCUAAUAACGCAAAGGUAGUGGGUUCGAUUCCCCCAUGGGCCA